AGAGUUUGAUCCUGGCUCAGAUUGAACGCUGGCGGCAUGCCUUACACAUGCAAGUCGAACGGUAACAGGUUAAGCUGACGAGUGGCGAACGGGUGAGUAGUGUAUCGGAACGUGCCCAGUCGUGGGGGAUAACGUAGCGAAAGCUACGCUAAUACCGCAUACGAUCUAUGGAUGAAAGCGGGGGAUCGCAAGACCUCGCGCGAUUGGAGCGGCCGAUAUCAGAUUAGGUAGUUGGUGGGGUAAAGGCCUACCAAGCCGACGAUCUGUAGCUGGUCUGAGAGGACGACCAGCCACACUGGGACUGAGACACGGCCCAGACUCCUACGGGAGGCAGCAGUGGGGAAUUUUGGACAAUGGGCGCAAGCCUGAUCCAGCAAUGCCGCGUGCAGGAUGAAGGCCUUCGGGUUGUAAACUGCUUUUGUACGGAACGAAACAGCUCUUUCUAAUACAGAGGGCGAAUGACGGUACCGUAAGAAUAAGCACCGGCUAACUACGUG
rnacentral:rRNA from 1 species